UACGUAGGGUGCAAGCGUUGUCCGGAAUUAUUGGGCGUAAAGAGCUCGUAGGCGGUUUGUCGCGUCUGCUGUGAAAACCCGAGGCUCAACCUCGGGCCUGCAGUGGGUACGGGCAGACUAGAGUUCGGUAGGGGAGUGUGGAAUUCCUGGUGGAGCGGUGAAAUGCGCAGAUAUCAGGAGGAACACCCGUAGCGAAGGCGGCACUCUGGGCCGAUACUGACACUGAGGAGCGAAAGCGUGGGGAGCGAACAGG
rnacentral:rRNA from 1 species